rnacentral:rRNA from 1 species
CAGCUAUGCCGCGNUGUGUGAAGAAGGCCUUCGGGUUGUAAAGCACUUUUAUCAGGAACGAAACACUGUCGGCCAAUACCCGGUGGGACUGACGGUACCUGAGGAAUAAGCACCGGCUAACUUCGUGCCAGCAGCCGCGGUAAUACGAAGGGUGCAAGCGUUAAUCGGAAUUACUGGGCGUAAAGCGUGCGUAGGCGGUUUGUUAAGUCUGUUGUGAAAUCCCCGGGCUCAACCUGGGAAUGGCAAUGGAUACUGGCAGGCUAGAGUGUGUCAGAGGAUGGUGGAAUUCCCGGUGUAGCGGUGAAAUGCGUAGAGAUCGGGAGGAACAUCAGUGGCGAAGGCGGCCAUCUGGGACAACACUGACGCUNAGGCACGAAAGCGUGGGGAGCAAACAGGAUUAGAUACCCUGGUAGUCCACGCCCUAAACGAUGCGAACUGGAUGUUGGUCUCAACUCGGAGAUCAGUGUCGAAGCUAACGCGUUAAGUUCGCCGCCUGGGGAGUACGGUCGCAAGACUG